rnacentral:rRNA from 1 species
UACGUAGGGUGCGAGCGUUGUCCGGAAUUAUUGGGCGUAAAGAGCUUGUAGGCGGUUUGUCGCGUCUGCCGUGAAAAUCCGGGGCUCAACCCCGGACUUGCGGUGGGUACGGGCAGACUAGAGUGUGGUAGGGGAGACUGGAAUUCCUGGUGUAGCGGUGAAAUGCGCAGAUAUCAGGAGGAACACCGAUGGCGAAGUCAGGUCUCUGGGCCACUACUGACGCUGAGAAGCGAAAGCGUGGGGAGCGAACAGG